GGAUGAACGCUGGCGGCGUGCCUAAUACAUGCAAGUCGAGCGAACAGACGAGGAGCUUGCUCCUCUGACGUUAGCGGCGGACGGGUGAGUAACACGUGGAUAACCUACCUAUAAGACUGGGAUAACUUCGGGAAACCGGAGCUAAUACCGGAUAAUAUAUUGAACCGCAUGGUUCAAUAGUGAAAGACGGUUUUGCUGUCACUUAUAGAUGGAUCCGCGCCGCAUUAGCUAGUUGGUAAGGUAACGGCUUACCAAGGCAACGAUGCGAAGCCGACCUGAGGGGGUGGUCGGCACGAGGGGAAGUGAGACAGCGUCAAGAGUCGUGCGGGAGGGCGCAGGAGGCAAGCUGACGGAAUGGGGGAAAGGUUGACGGAACAACGACGAGUGAUAGAGGAAAGUCUUAUGAUCGUAAAACUGUGUUAUUAGGGAAAAACAAAUGUGUAAGUAACUAUGCACGUCUUGACGGUAACUAAUCAGAAAGCCACGGCGAACGACGGG
rnacentral:rRNA from 1 species